CUCAGAGAAACCUUUGAAACGGAGGGUGGGGGUGGGGACCGUGCAAUGGGUGCCAGGGUGAGACAGAAAGUCCUUGUUUCCUGGGAAAGCAUAAUGACAUCACCAACUCGACGGAUGUGAGUUUGAGCAAGCUCCAGGAGUUGGUGAUGGACAGGGAAGCCUGGCGUCUGCAGUCCAUGGUUGCAAAGCGUCAGACAUGACUGAGCAACUGAACUGAACUGAAUGGCCUCAAGGUCCAUCCGUGUUAUUGCAAAUGGCUUAUUCCACCUCCAUAAGAUGAAGGAUGGGGACUAGACUGUCUCAGCUAAAAAAGAGCUCAACAACCCUACACAAGGCACAGCUGCUUUCUAUGAAGUCUGAAAA
ensembl:lncRNA